rnacentral:misc_RNA from 1 species
GGGAAGCAGAGAAGGGGGGAAAGGAAAGGGAAAGGGGGGAAAUUCCGGAAAGUAUGCCUGUUUGAGGGUCAGUUAAAUAAAAAUCGGUGUUGUUGCUGCCUUUCGUGGUGACGCGUCGGAAUUGGGUCGUCUUACCUUCGGUUAAGUGACUUAAAAUUUUUGCAUGAUUUUCGAACGUAUUUAAAUCGCUUACGUACGUUUGAGAUAUCGCAACCUUAUUACGUUCGGUCAUGACCAUGCAUACCGCCUAUAAUUUUUCAUCAAAUAA